UCAUCCCGGCAUCGAUCUCACCGUAAAUCAACAUCCUCCCUCUAGCUUCCUUUUCUUUCAUUCAGAUCCGUGAUUAGUUUCGUUUUUCUGGAUCACUCUCAGAUAAACUUGUUUGGUUUCUCUUUCUUUUUUCUUUAAUUUUUUUCCUAUUUCAAGUUCCACAUGGGUUUUAAAUUUUUUAUUCUUGUUUACCUUAUUGAUUGGGUAAAGGAUGGGGAAAUGGGCUUGUUCUGGGUGAGGUGUGUUGGUUUUCAAUAAUAUUUAGGUCAACGAAAGGAAAUUAAUCGUUUUAUGGUUCCUUCUGGUAAUUUGGUCGAAUACAUUUUCGCUUCAUUUUCAGAAAGCUGGGUCAAUAAAAAUUAAACUAAAUAAAGUCCUUCAUUGCUUGGAAUACUUGGAAAAGUAUUUUAUCUGGGUCUGUAGAGCAUUAAAAUUGGCCGUGCAAUGUAAACAGUGUAUCUAUCUUAUCAAACUUACUAGUUUUCUGAACUUGGGUUUGUGUCUAUAACUCUAUUGUAUGUGUUAGCCACUGAUGAGCUUUGCCGGAAAGAUUUGAGUAAA
rnacentral:misc_RNA from 1 species